CGAAAACAACAGAUCACAGCGAUCCUUCCUUUCGAGAAGACAUCUUCCAGCUUAAGGGAUAUUUAUCUUCGGCUCAUUUCUCUACUAUAAAAGCUCGAAGCUUUUGCCUUGUUUACAACAUUCGCUGAUCAACUACCGCACAAGUCCCAUCGCCUUUUAUUUCUCGCAAAACUCGCAUGAAAAUGGUAUCCACCCGCCUUGUUCUCGCCAUGGUUGCUGUCCUCUUCAUCCUCGCCAUCAGCGUAGAUGCCGCUUACAGAAAGCCUCCUUUCAAUGGAAGCAUUUUCGGCAAGCGAUCCAACACCA